UACGGAGGGUGCGAGCGUUGUUCGGAAUUACUGGGCGUAAAGGGGGCGUAGGCGGUUUGUUAAGUCAAAUGUGAAAGUCCACGGCUUAACUGUGGAAGUGCAUUUGAGACUGGCAGGCUAGAGUUUCGGAAGGGAAAGUGGAAUUCCUGGUGUAGGAGUGAAAUCCGAAGAUAUCAGGAGGAAUACCGGUGGCGAAGGCGACUUUCUGGACGAAUACUGACGCUGAGGCCCGAAAGCGUGGGGAGCAAACAGG
rnacentral:rRNA from 1 species